rnacentral:rRNA from 1 species
UACGAAGGGGGCUAGCGUUGUUCGGAAUUACUGGGCGUAAAGCGCGCGCAGGCGGUUUUUCAAGUCAGUGGUGAAAGCCCGGAGCUCAACUCCGGAAAUGCCAUUGAAACUGUAAAACUUGAGGACGAGAGAGGUGAGUGGAAUUCCCAGUGUAGAGGUGAAAUUCGUAGAUAUUGGGAAGAACACCGGUGGCGAAGGCGGCUCGCUGGCUCGUUUCUGACGCUCAGGCGCGAUAGCGUGGGGAUCAAACAGG